rnacentral:sRNA from 1 species
CCCGCACUUCAACCGCUCCGAGCAGGUCAUGAAGUAGUUUUUUCGGCUCACCUGCGGCGGCGAGUCUAAGUCUAUGG